GACGAACGCUGGCGGCGUGCUUAACACAUGCAAGUCGAACGGAAAGGCCCUGCUUUUGUGGGGUGCUCGAGUGGCGAACGGGUGAGUAACACGUGAGUAACCUGCCCUUGACUUUGGGAUAACUUCAGGAAACUGGGGCUAAUACCGGAUAGGAGCUCCUGCUGCAUGGGGGGGGUUGGAAAGUUUCGGCGGUUGGGGAUGGACUCGCGGCUUAUCAGCUUGUUGGUGGGGUAGUGGCUUACCAAGGCUUUGACGGGUAGCCGGCCUGGGAGGGUGACCGGCCACAUUGGGACUGAGAUACGGCCCAGACUCCUACGGGAGGCAGAAGUGGGGAAUAUUGCACAAUGGGCGGAAGCCGGAUGCAGCAACGCCGCGUGCGGGAUGACGGCCUUCGGGUUGUAAACCGCUUUCGCCUGUGACGAAGCGUGAGUGACGGUAAUGGGUAAAGAAGCACCGGCUAACUACGUG
rnacentral:rRNA from 1 species